AAUUCCUAUAUUCUAUUAUUUGAAGGAUUGUAAAAUAAAAUCCUAGGAAGAUAGUAAUGAUUAUAGAGUGAGUUGCAGAUUUCAAGUUAUUAUUUAUUAAUGAGUGGUGUACUCAGGUAACAGAUACGCUGUAAGCUAGAAGGAUUGCUGUAUUAAGUAGGGGAAUUUGGAAUGGAUUUACUGGAAAAAUGUAAAAGGGUGGUGAGCUGAGCCAAUAUAUUUA